GGGUUAGUAGGUUGGUCAUGCCACUGGUAUGUACUGGUCUCACUGAUUCCUCCUUCCUGAUGAGCCGUAAUGCCAUUAAUUUGGUGUUGCGAGGAAUCUGGACUGUUACUUUGAAAAAAUUAGAGUGUUUAAAGCAAGCUAACGCUUGAAUACAUUAGCAUGGAAUAAUGAAAUAGGACGUUCGAUCCUAUUUUGUUGGUUUCUAGGGCUAAAAUAAUGAUUAAUAGGGAUAGUUGGG
rnacentral:rRNA from 1 species